rnacentral:rRNA from 1 species
CCCUUAGAUGUCGUGGGCUGCACGCGCACUACAAUGAUACAUGCAACAAGUUUCUUGACCCUACUCCGAAAGGAGCGGGUAAUCUUUAAAAGUGUAUCGUACUGGGAAUAGACGAUUGUAAUUGUUCGUCUUGAACGAGGAAUAUCUAGUAGGGGCUGUUCAUAAUACAGCCCCGAUUACGUCCCUGCCCUUUGUACACACCGCCCGUCGCUGCUACCGAUUGAAUGGUUUAAUGAGAAGUUCGGACUUUGACCGCAAGGUGGAGGAAGUUCUUCAAAUUUGAUCAUUUAGAGGAAGCAAAAGUCGUANCA